rnacentral:tRNA from 1 species
AUUUAAAUAACUUAAUUUAGAGUGUAGUAUUGAAGAUACUAAAGUGAUUUUUAUAAUCUUUAAAUA